rnacentral:rRNA from 1 species
UGGGGAAUUUUGGACAAUGGGGGAAACCCUGAUCCAGCCAUCCCGCGUGUGCGAUGAAGGCCUUCGGGUUGUAAAGCACUUUUGGCAGGAAAGAAACGUCAUGGGUUAAUACCCCGUGAAACUGACGGUACCUGCAGAAUAAGCACCGGCUAACUACGUGCCAGCAGCCGCGGUAAUACGAAGGGUGCAAGCGUUAAUCGGAAUUACUGGGCGUAAAGCGUGCGCAGGCGGUUCGGAAAGAAAGAUGUGAAAUCCCAGGGCUCAACUUUGGAACUGCAUUUUUAACUACCGGGCUGGAGUGAGGUAGAGGGAGGUGGAAUUCCGCGUGUAGAAGUGAAAUGCGUAGAUAUGCGGAGGAACACCGGUGGCGAAGGCAGCCUCCUGGGAUAACACUGACGCUGAGGCGCGAAAGCGUGGGGAGCAAACAGG